CUUACGAUUCACAAGUGUCUCUCUUUCAAAGCUAAUCACAAUUACCUAAUCAGUACUAAGUCGUUAAAAUCCAAUUCGACUCUAUUAACACUAAAAAUAAACAAAUAUAAAAGUGGCGACGAGAAAUCAUUUAUGCAUUAUUGGCAAUUAGAAAACGCUGGAAAUAUGUUGCUAAGGGAGACGAUAAAAAGCAAUGGGCUUCAAGCUGAAGAUGAUCGUAUACUCGAGUCGAACAAGCAGCGAAGGCGUCGUUAUUCGGCGAGCGAAGAAACAAAUCUAUUGAGGCGACUUACAAAAAUGAAGAAUUUGAAUAUGAAAUUUUCAAACUUAGUUAUUUGUUCCGAUAAAAAAAAUCGUUUAGUAGUUCAUGAAAGCAUGAUUAAAACAUGUAAAGUAUCUAAAGCUCAAUUAGUAAAGAAUUUAAAAAUCUUUGUUUUAAGAAGUGUAAUUUGUGAAGAGAAUUGUGUUGAUGAAUGUCAAUUUCGAAUAACUAUGAAAAGUCUCCAAAAGGGGAAGAAUUGUUGUAUGCAAGAUUCCAAUACACAUACAGUGUAGUUACGAACGAUAACGAUCGUGUUUUUGCGAUGUUAUCUCACAAUCUGUGAUACUAAUAAACGAUCUAAUCAGAUCAUGUUCAAACUCCUUA